rnacentral:lncRNA from 1 species
UGGGACCUUUGUGGCUUCUCCACUGAGUGUAAGUUGUCGUGCACGUCUUGAUCAACCCACUGAGGCCUAGGGAUGGGCCUGGAAAGGCGGCUCAUGCAGUUUACGUUAGCAUUGCAAAGAAAUGUCCUUAGGACGCGUUUGGCAGCUCGUAUCAGACUAUAUCGUAUUGCAUUAAAACAUUAUUCUUAUACAAACUCAUGUUUGAUUACAAUUUUUAGUUGCAUUGCACUAUGUUAAAAAGGCGGCUAAUACAAUGAAAAGGAGUUAAAAAUAAUCACAUGAGAGAGGAGGGUUUAGAUUGUAUUGCAUUAAAAUACUAUUCAUAUUUUAAAUUUAGUCAUUUUACUUUUACUAUUCAAUAA